AUACGUAGGUGACAAGCGUUAUCCGGAUUUACUGGGCGUAAAGGGCGAGUAGGCGGUCUUGCAAGUCAGAAGUGAAAUUACUGAGCUCAACUCGGGCGCUGCUUCUGAAACUGCAGGACUUGAGUGCUGGAGGGGAUAGCGGAAUUCCUAGUGGAGCGGUAAAAUGCGCAGAUAUUAGUAAGAACACCGGUGGCGAAGGCGGCUAUCUGGACAGUAACUGACACUGAGCCUCGAAAGCGUGGGGAGCAAACAGGAUUAGAUACCAGGGUAUUCCACGCCGUAAACGAUGAAUACUAGGUGUAGGUGGUAUCGACUCCCUCUGUGCCUCAGUUAACACAAUAAGUAUUCCGCCUGGGGAGUACGGCCGCAAGGUCGAAACUCAAAGGAAUUGACGGGG
rnacentral:rRNA from 1 species